CCCCAUCCUGGCUCCCGAGAUUGACUUGAUCCCCGUGACGUAAGAAUUUUAUGGGCGUCUCUGGUUUGAACUCGAGCCUAAGAGUAACUUGGAGAGAUGGCGGCGGGGCUCCGACCUGGGCUUUGUCCCUUCUUCCCGGUGUGGAGACUCCAAAUCACUGGCUCUCCCACAAGAAAUCUUCCUCCAGUUCAAUUUCAGGCUCUCCUAGAAGCCUCUGCUACGACCAAAUGGAAUGUACGCUCCUCUUCACAAGCCAGGGACUUUUCCUGUUAUUUUCAGCACUUAAAACAGUGACCACUAUUUGGAGUGAACAAACAAGUGACUAUGAUGAACUCUGAACAGAGAUCUGAUUGGACUUAGGAAGGGAGCCAUGAGAUAUUGGAAGAGAAUCCUGAUGGUGAGAACAGCACAGGUCUGAAGCAGAAGUGUGCCAGCAAUGAGCAAAGAACAGGGCGACAACCAGUGUGCCUGGAGCAGCUGUUCAAGGGACAGUAGUGAGAGGAUGGAGCUGGAAGAAAAAGGGUGGAGAUGAAAUAAGGUCCUAAAGAAUCUGCAGGAAACAAUUUCCAAACCACUGCUUUAGGCCACACCUGUGAGGAGCAGUAGAGCCCGCUGGGUCUCCUGACCAACCAGCACAAUCUGUUUGAAGCUCAUGGAGUGGUGAAAUGUCAUCUUGAAGACCCGUUGCCCACUGGACUGCAGAUAGACCUCAACACAGUCACAAGCGCGGUUGCUGGUUGUGCCUACCACUCCUGAUUGCUCUCGAGUGGCCAAGACAUAAAGGGCCGGAUCCCAGAACCCUGCUCUCGGAGGCGUGGACUGAGCCUGCGACAGAUGCGUCUCCAAGCGCCUUCUGCAUCACACACUUCCUGGAAGUAGCGGCAGGUCUGGCCC